UCAUUAUGGGUUAUCUUGUUUUUUUUUUAUCUAAUCAAGUGAUGCCAAUAACACCAAAACAUCAAGGUCAGAGUUAAUAAAGAAAGAAACAAGAACCCAUAAUGAAAUUCUCCAAAGGAGAGAAUUACAACAGAACACUAGGAAAUUCCAAAUUAUCCAUGUUUCAUACUGCUUACGCAGAGCAUAAACCAAAAUAUUUUGUAUUUGACAUUUUCCACAUAUCGGGAGGUAAAACUGAUCACUUUAGCAAGCAUAUUUUGCUAAGCUUGAUUCUCCUGCUGCUGCUGAUAGUUCAAGG
rnacentral:misc_RNA from 1 species